GAAAGGUAGAGCCGCUUCCUGGUGCAGCAGCGACCAAAGUGUAUGCGAGGAAGUUUACAGAAAAAUCAGAUACCAUCCCAAAACAAGCUGAGACUGCAACCCAAACACUUGGUGAUGGGCGCACGGAAGCUAUGCAUAAAGCAGCAGUAGAAAAGCGUGUCGACAACUUGAAGGACAGCAAAGGUUUCAAGGAUGCACCCGAUGCUCCAAGCUUCUCACUGGGAUUUACAGACGAUGAGGAUUCUCAAGAAAUGGACAAGGGUCAACUUGCAACAGAAGAUGAACUGUACAGCAUCAUAUGCAGACACACCAAGCACGAAGAGGGGUAUGG